rnacentral:rRNA from 1 species
UACGUAGGGGGGCAAGCGUUGUCCGGAUUUACCGGGCGUAAAGCGCGCGUAGGCGGGAGGUGAAGUCCGGUGGGAAAGCCCACGGCUCAACCGUGGAAGAACGCUGGAAACUCACCUUCUUGAGGGCGGCAGAGGGGGGUAGAAUUCCACGUGUAGCAGUGAAAUGCGUAGAUAUGUGGAGGAAUACCGAUGGCGAAGGCAGCCCCCCUGGGAUAACACUGACGCUCAUGCACGAAAGCGUGGGGAGCAAACAGG